GCGGGGAUGGCGGAAUUGGUAGACGCGCCAGACUUAGGAUCUGGUGCUGCAAGGCGUGAGGGUUCGAGUCCCUCUCUCCGCA
rnacentral:tRNA from 1 species